rnacentral:lncRNA from 1 species
UGACACAAUUUUUUAAUGGAUAAGAUUUUAAUACACAUUUCACAAAGAAAGCUGUAUGAAUGAUCAAUAAGAAUUGUACAUUAAAAAGCAUUCCAUAUCACCAGUUAAAAUUGCAGGGAUAUACUACCAUACAACAAUCAGAAUGGCUAAAAUUUUAGAAACUGAUAAUAACAAAUGUUGGCAAGGAUGUGAAGCACCUAGAACUCAUUGUUGAUAAGCAUGAAAUGGUACAACCACCAUGGAAAAAGAUCUGGCAAGUGUCUUAUAAAACUAAACAUACACCAACAUAUAACCUAUAACUCAGCAAUUCCACUCCCAGAUUAUUUACCCAAGAGAAAUGAAAACAUACGUCCGCAAAAAGACUUGUAAAAAUAUUUAUAGCAGCUUUAUUCAUAAUAGCUCCAAACUAGAAAUGGUCCUUGUGUUCCGUCAAUGGAAGAAUAAACAAACUGUUGUGUAUCUAUGCAUUGGAAUUCAAUGCAGUAAUUUUUUUAAAGGCACUAUUAGCAAUGAGCACCCUGGCACCGAGAUCUUGGUUUCUAAAUACCAUGCACACCAGGCGUCUUUCAUUUCAUUUCCAAAGAACCAGGGCUCUUUAGAGAAAAAGCUGAUUCUGGGGCUGGGGCUCGGGAAGAAUGAGUCUGGAGCAUAUUGUUAAUACCAGAAAGAAAGUACUUAAAGAAGGAUGAGAUUAUGUCACCAGAACAUAAGAGCCAGCCUGAAAGGGUUCCCACAGGACAAAGUUGGGACUGUGUAACCAUAAAAUAAUAAGAGUACUGUAUUAUAAGCCCCUGAAUAAGAACUUCUGAGCUCAUACUGACAUAAAUAAGUAGGCAAGAAGGGUAAAGCUGUCUUAGUACAGAAUGCCAACUAAUAAACAUAGAAGCAAAAGUAGAGUCAUGGCGUGAGUUGGCUAAAGAAAAAAAAAACAGAGUCAGAAAAUAAACAAUAAAGGCUAAAAGAGUAGUUGCAAAUUUAAUGAGGAACCAGACAUAUUGAUACAACGUCCUGUCCCUCCUGACAUGACCAAGGACACAUCCUUUCUGGGCUGCUUCUGACAAAAGUAUACAAUCCAAAUCUAAUAAUGAGGAUAUGUCAGGAAAAAAAACCACAAGAACUCACCUAUUUUUUAAAAAGUAACAAGAUCAAGAAAGACAAAGUUCAUCUGGUUAGAUAGAUGGUGGGAGAAAAAAAGAAGGGCAAAGGAAGGCAAAGGAGUAGACGGAAGGACAUGAAGAAACAUGACAACUAAAUGCAACACAACACACAGUCCUGGAUUGAUUGGAUUCUUGAUUCAGAAAAAAAAAAAAAGCCACAGGUACAUCAACAAAAUAAUUGACAGAAUUUAAAUUUGGUCUAAGGAUUAGCUAAUAGGCAAUAUCAAUGUCAAAUUUCCUGACUCAGAUAUUUAUUCUGGGUUAUAUAUAAGAACAUUGUUGAUCUCAGGAAACACACAUUGAAAUUUUAUAGGGGAAGAGUAUGAGGACUCAAAGUUACUCUCCAAUGUUUCAGGGGAAAACAGAGGGAGAGAGAAAAAAUGGCAAAGCAAGUGGGACAACAGGUAAGCAAGUGGUGAAUAAGUGUGAAGAGUAUACAGCCAUUCCUUCUACUGUUCUUGCAACUUUUCUGUAGGUUUGAUAAAUCCAAGAUAAAAGAUUACCAAAACACACGCACAUACACAUUACUGUAAUUAUUCUCUAUGAGGAUACAGUAGCUCAGUGAUUUUUCUUUUUCUUUUUUUUUUUUUUUGGAGACGCCCAGCUAAUUUUUGUAUUUUUAGUAAAGACAGGGUUUCACCAUGUUGGCCAGGCUGGUCUUGAACUCCUGACCUCAGGUAAUCCACCCACCUUGGCCUCCCAAAGUGCUGGGAUUACAGGCCUGAGUCACCAUGCACAGCCCAUUAUUUAUCAAAUGAUUUUUUUUUUUUUUUUUUGAGACCCAGUCUUGCUCUGUCACCCAGGCUGCAGUGCAGUGGCGCGACCUUGGCUCACUGCAAGCUCCACCUCCCGGGUUCACGCCAUUCUACUGCCUCAGCCUCCCAAGUAGCUGGGACUACAGGCGCCGGCCACCAGGCCUGGCUAAUUUUUUCUAUUUUUCAGUGGAGACGAGGUUUCACUGUGUUAGCCAGGAUGGUCUCUAUCUCCUGACCUCGUGAUCUGCCCGCCUUGGCCUCCCAAAGUGCUGGGAUUACAGGUGCGAGCCACCACGCCCAGCCACCUCAGCGAUUGCUUGGUCACAAAAUUACUAAGAACCAGGCCUUGAACCUGAAUCCAGGCCUUCUGACAAUAGAUCUUUCCAGUGUCCCUGCCCUGUCACUUAUCAAUGAAGAAAUCACCCCCUUAGGCCAUAUUGCUGAACAAUGAACCAAGUGAUUGAGAACUGUGGGGGGAAAUCCUAAAGUUUUUAAAGCACUGGUAGUUACCUGUCAUGACGACCUACUUAGCCAUCUUGUUUGGACACAAAGGAACUGACACAUACUUCAAUCUGAAAGCUGUACUUCCAAAUUGAUGGGGCCCAAAGAAAGAGGGGUAAAAAGCAACAUUUACAUGAAACAAGGAUGUUUUCUAGGAGCCCCAUUCAAUUUCCAAACUGGUAAGUGCUGCGUCUGAUAGCAGGUACUCAGCCCAGCACCACCGCUCUACUGAAUACUUCUUUCCUUUGCAUCUCCUGUGUCUGUGCUUAACAGGGCUGAUAAUUAUGCCAGGUGGAUUCACCUAGGAUGAUCUAUUUCAAUUAAAUUGUGACUGACCUUAAUAUAGUGAAGACAUAUAAUAGAACCAUUUAACUUACACGAAUUCAUCUACUUGUAAAUGUAAUAUGCAUGCAAGUAUACAUAAUAUAAGCAUAUGUACUUAAGUGAUAUGGCCAAAUAUUGCACUUCCUGCAUAAGCCUAAGCCAUGGAAUGGGUGUGAGAUGCACUGUUCUCUCAGGGAUAUCUUACUUUAUGUGCUUCCCCUAAUAUGAGCAUGUCCUUGCUGAGUAUGACAUAGCAUUUAAAGAAAUUAGAAUAAAGAUGCUAACUAAAACAGGUUUUUAGUUAAAAAGCAAUAAAGGAGAAUCCUCAUCCAAAAAUGGAAAUGAAUAGUAGGUGAGUGAGGAGUGGGAAGGACAGGAAAAUAAGAGACAGGUGAAUGGGAGCCAUGGUUUCGACUCCAGGUGCAAGGGAGCCUAAGCGACAGGCUCUGCUUGAAGCUGCGAGCCUGGGGUGAAGCCUGGAACUGGAAACUUCUGCCCAUUCCCUCUGCUAGGCCUCGGACUAAACCUAACAGAAACAGGCAAGACAAGGUGGGAAAGAUGAGUACAGGGAACACAGAGGACUUUUAGGGCAGUGAAAAUACUCUGCAUGAUACUAUAAUGGUGGAAUACAUGUCUUCAUACGUUUGUCCAAACCCACAGAUCAUGCAACACCAAGAAUGAACCCUAAUGUAAACUAUGGGUUUCAGGUGAUGUGGAUAUGUCAGUGUAAUGUGGGCUCACCGAUGGUAACAGAUGCACUGGUCUGGUGGGGGAUGUUGAUAGUAGGAGAAGCAAUGCGUGUGUAGGGGCAGGGGAUAGAUGGGAAAUCUCUCUACCUUCCUCUCACUUUUGCUGGGAAAUUAAAGUUUCUCUUAAAAAAUUAAGUCUCUUAAAAAAUUCAUUUGUUAAAAAACAAUCAAAAACCGGGAAAAUAUUACAAAUAAAAUAUCAUUGCAUAAAAGACUCAGGCAAAAUGAGAGAUCUAUGACAUUCACAGAUGGGAGGAUGAGAAAUCCUAAGCUAACCUAGAAAUUCAAUGUCCAGGCUCCUUAGUUAGCCAUUGGAGGCACUCUGGCCUGGUCCCUGCCAACAUCCCUGGCCUUGCUUCUUCAAAUGGCCCAACAGCCAGUGCUGCCAUCUUCCCUGCCUCCAACCUUGUGCUCCUAUAGCACCCCCUACAGCCUGCUCUCCACAUUGCAAGCAGGAUGGUCCUGCUGAAACAAGUCUGAUCACAUCACUGCCCAAACUGGCCAAUGGCAUCUCAUCUCACUUGAGUAAAAGCCCAAGGCCUCAGCACAGGCCACCAGGCCAUGUGGCCUGUCCUCUUCUCCCGUCACUCUCCCAUCCCCCUUGCUCAAAGGAGUCAAGCCUGAUCCUUCCUCAUGGCCUCUGCACUCUACUCCUUCCAUGCUGCUCCUCUCCCCAGAGCAGCAGAUCUUACAUCCUUCAGUGCUGACACCAUCGAGUCCUCCCUGCCCAUCCUGGAUAAAGCAGCAUUCCUCCCACCAGUCUCCAUCCCCCUUACUCUGACCUAUUUUGCUCAACAGCACUGACCACAAUGUGAGCCAACACACUGUCUUCUCUGACAGAACAAAUGUUCCACAAGGACAGAGACUUUGUUUUGCAAGAUCACGCCAUUGCACCCCAGCCUGGGCAACAGAGAGAGACUCUGUCUCCAAAAAAAAAAAAAAAGAAAAAAAGCAAAGAAAAUAAAAACUGAAUAUACCUAAAUGCCCACUAAUAAACAAAAAUGUGCUAUAUUUAAUAGAAUAGAGUGGUUAUAAUUAACUAGAUCUAUAUAUAUCAACACAGAGAUGCCUCCAAGACAUAAGUAAAAAUAAAGAACACAGAUGGCUUGAUAUUUAUUUUUAAAGCACCAAAACAGUACCAUCUCCUUCCAGACACUAGGUGAAAAUAUAAGGAACAGAUGAACAUUGCAAGCAGAUGAACAGGUGAACAUAUACACAGACUCACUGCAGUGGCUGCCUCUGGAGGGAACAGGACUGUGAGAGCUGGUUAAAGAGAACUCUACUUUUAUCUUUAUGUUUUGUUUCUUUAAAAAAAAAAGUGGAAAGAUGACUUCAGUAUGGUGGGAAUGGAGAUAAUUAUUGUCUGUCCUUUUUGCUUAUUUUUCAAAUUUUUAUUUACAGUAUACUUCCUCUGAUGCUCAAACACGUGCCCUGUUUCAAUACUGGUAGAAAACUGGUAGUGCUAGACACACUAAGAACAAUAUAAUACUGAAUUUUACAUAUGAUUUAAAAUGAUGUCAAAGUAAAUUUUGACUAUAUGUGACUAUAGCCUUAACUGACAACUUUAGUAUUAACCCUCUUUAAAGUUGAGACUCACAGCAUUUAGCAACAUGGUGACUUAAAAGCGAACUACAUGUAGAACAGUUUCUUCAUUUAGAUAAAGAUUUCUGAAAGACCAAUCUUGUGUAUAAAAUUAAGUUAAUCAAAAUCCCUUUUCUCCAGUGCCAUCUGGUGGAAAGAAGAGGCAACCUCACCUGUACCUGCCACAAAAUAACCACAGCUGUGGUUAUCAGAGCAACAUUCUCUCCCCCCCAACCACCCCGCCUUCCCUGCCCGCAGAGCACCCUCUGUCAUCCCCUCUGUCACCUAGGCUGGAGUGAAGUGGUGCGAUCUCGGCUCACUGCAACCUCCACCUCCCGGGUUCAAGCGAUUCUCCUGCCUCAACCUCCCAAGUAGCUGGGAUUACAGGCGCCUGCUACCACGCCUGGCUUUUUUGUAUUUGUAGUAGAGACAGGGUUUCACCAUUGUUGGCCAGGCUGGUCUAGAAUUCCUGACCUUGUGAUCCGCCCGCCUCAGCCUCCCAAAGUGCUGGGAUUACAGGUGUGAGCCACUGGGCCCGGCCCAGAGCACCAUUCUUUACAAAGAAGGCCCCUCUUUUAUUCUGAUUACUGUGUGGUGUUCUGUUAACUGUUUACUUUCUUUAGAGCCUUCCUCAAACUGGAAAUUCUUCAGCCUACAGGUUAGAUAAGAAGCAAGUGGAUAUUCUUCAUUUUUUUGGCUUUCCUGGUUUCCAUUGACUUGACUUUGGCAAGGCAUUAUUUAGAAAAGGCUGUUCUUCUAUCUUCUGCUCCAAGAUUCUUUCUUUACUGUAUUUAAAUCAAAUGUUUUAACUUCUUCCCCCAGACCAUUCUGCAAUCAUAAUCUGUAUUCAUCCACAUUUCAAGCCCUCUAGAAUAAAAAAUUCCAAUAGUUGAUUUAUACGUAAAACAUGUUAGUGUUAUUUUGCUUUACAUAAACUUAUAAGGAUUUUUUAUUUAAAGGAUUUAAAAAU